GUUAUUAUAACAAAUGAAAGCACUUUUAAAAAUACAGCUUUCUCACUUAAAUCUGCUCAGGUUGUUUUUUUUACUGGCAAAUAGUGAAAAUCCUGUUCGUAUUAAUUUUGAUCGAAGAUGUGCGCGCUUGCAUGCCUAUAUUUAUAACGUUUAAGGACUGCGGCUAUAAUUCCACCUCAAGGCUCCGUCGCUGGGUGCCGGUCGGGGGACGUUGCAUGUCUACGCACUUUUUUCAGAAAGUUUCAUUUGAAGGUAAAAAGUCUUGGGAGUACGGCACCGUUGGCAUUAAAAACAUUGUCCUAAGAACAUAUUUCCGGAAUGUACUUCCUUUUGUCUGGAAAUUAUUUCAUACGUUGACCACAGGAAAGUACUAAUUCCAGCAACGAGGCUGAAGGUCAGCCUCUGAACUUUACCGUAACUCCUGCCAUGUUGAAACCGACCCUGGGUUUAUAAGUAACUGCUGCUCUUUGUGUCAAGGGGACACGUGACUGCUUUUGCCGCACCCCAGUAUUGACGGCGACGCUCGUUCCUGCCGAAGUGGCUAAUUAUGACACACCUGACCUCAUCCGCACGCGAACUGGCCUGGUGUUACCGGUGCGAGUGACGGUGCACUAGUGACCAAAGUGGGUUCUUCACUUGAUUGACAGCAAGCAGAGGCUGCGUUUGGAGGUUCUCGCGGUACUCGUCGACUUCCUGCGCCUUUCAAGUAGACUUUUAUUAAUGUUUCUCAAAGAAAUUUAUAUUAAAACCAAAACACACCGACCAAUGUAUGUUAGGCAAAGCUGAGGUGUGUGUACAGGACACACUGUGGGCGCUUUGGGGAGACAGUGGACUAGAUCUCCGCCGGAUCCUAUACGGGUCCGAUCCUGCGGGACGUGGGGCGCCGUCCCCCGCUGCCCCCUCGCUGUCCGCUGCUGAACUGGAGUCCUUCUUGGAGCACCAUGUGGCUUUAGGAUGUGCGCUUGUAACCGGAAGGUGUUCGGUUCGAAUCCCACUCCCUCCGAAAACAAAAAGCUGCAGUUGGUAAGCUGGAAAAAAAGUUUUGUGUAGCAAGUAAUUAUUGCUGUAAGUCACGUUGAACAAAGUCAUCAUCUAAUAAUAAUAAUAAUAAUGUUUAUACUUCCCUAAACGUUUUUAUUGCUGCGUAUAUUUGGUUUGUAAAGUUUUUACUUUUGCUACCAAGAGAAAAUCGUGCGUGUGGCGAGUAAGAUGAAUGGAAGCAGGAAUAACAGUGAGUGGUUCCCAGCUCCGCUGAGCUGGAUGGAGAUGCUGCGCAGGUGACAGGGCACUCCUGUAAAUCCUUGCUCUUGCUGCCAG
rnacentral:lncRNA from 1 species